GUAUUGGCCUACCGUGGCAAUGACGGGUAACGGGGAAUUAGGGUUCGAUUCCGGAGAGGGAGCCUGAGAAACGGCUACCACACCUAAGGAAGGCAGCAGGCGCGCAAAUUACCCAAUCCUAAUACAGGGAGGUAGUGACAAGAAAUAACAAUACAGGACUUUAACAGUUUUGUAGUUGGAAUGAGUUGAGUAUAAACCCCUUUACAAGUAUCAAUUGGAGGGCAAGUCUGGUGCCAGCAGCCGCGGUAAUUCCAGCUCCAAUAGCGUAUAUUAAAGUUGUUGCAGUUAAAAAGCUCGUAGUUGGAUUUCUGUUAAUAAUUUAUAUAUAAUAUUUAACAUAUUUAUAUAAUAUUAACAUAAUUCAUAUUACUAUUUAUAGUAUAUGAAACUUUACUUUGAGAAAAUUAGAGUGCUUAAAGCAGGCUUUUGCCUUGAAUACUAGAGCAUGGAAUAAUAUUAAAGAUUUUUAUCUUUCUUAUUGGUUCUAAGAUAGAAAUAAUGAUUAAUAGGGACAGUGGGGGCCAUUUGUAUUUAA
rnacentral:rRNA from 1 species